rnacentral:ribozyme from 1 species
AUAGUUUACAUAUAUACACGCACAGAAAAACAGAUGAAGAAAAAUUAAAGAAUUUGUCAUAGUAAUAUUGUUAUUGUUCCUCAUCAUCUUUUCUUU